UUAUAAUUUUUUGUAAAUCUAAAAUUUUUCCCAAAAUUUGUUCUCAGAAUGCUGGAAAUGCCAUUUGAGAGACCUCAAUUUCAAAAUUUUUCAGGGGGAGAGCUAUCCCCGGCACCCCUAGAAGGCAUAAUGCCCACAACACACAUUGCAUCUGGAAGCAGCUAUGAAAUGGGCAGUUCUAAAUUUUUCUUAGGAUGACCCCUGCAACAC